UUAAUUGAUGACUUGUAUGAAGGAUUGGAUGAAAUAUAAACUGUCUCUUAAUUAUAUUUAGAAUUUAAUUUUUUAAUUAAAAAGUUAAAAUAAAUUAGAAAGACGAGAAGACCCUAUAGAGUUUUAUAGAUAAAAUUAAUUGAGAUUAUUUGUAAAGAUUAAAUUAAGAUUAAUUUAUUUAUUUUGUUGGGGUGACAGAAAAAUAUGAAAAACUUUUUAUAUGUUUAAAACAUUAAUAAGUGGUUAAAUGAUCCAGUAUUAUUGAUUAUAAGAAAAAAUUACCUUAGGGAUAACAGCGUAAUUUUUUUUUUUAGUUCACAUAAAAAAAAAAGUUUGCGACCUCGAUGUUGGAUUAAGAUAAAAUUUAAAUGCAGAAG
rnacentral:rRNA from 1 species